rnacentral:ncRNA from 1 species
AACCUUAAGCCAUAAGUGAAAACUUGACUUAGUUAAAGCUAAAAGGGCCGGUAAAACUCGUGCCAGCCACCGCGGCUUAUACGAGAGGCUCAAGUUGACAAACCCCGGCGUAAAGAGUGGUUAAGGAAACCCGAAGACUAAAGCCGAAUGCCUUCAAAGCUGUUAUACGCUCCCGAAGGUGAGAAGUUCAAUCACGAAAGUGGCUUUAUAACCCCUGACCCCACGAAAGCUAUGAUACAAACUGGGAUUAGAUACCCCACUAUGCUUAGCCCUAAACAUUGGUGACACCUUACACCUGUUGCCCGCCAGGAAACUACGAGCAUUAGCUUAAAACCCAAAGGACUUGGCGGUGCUUUAGACCCACCUAGAGGAGCCUGUUCUAGAACCGAUAACCCCCGUUCAACCUCACCCCUCCUUGUUUAACCCGCCUAUAUACCACCGUCGUCAGCUUACCCUGUGAAGGUCUAAUAGUAAGCACAAUUGGCACAACCCAAAACGUCAGGUCGAGGUGUAGCGCAUGGAGGGGGAAGAAAUGGGCUACAUUCUCUAAUGAAGAGAAUACGAAUGAUAGACUGAAAUGUCUUUCCGAAGGAGGAUUUAGCAGUAAGCAAGAAAUAGAGAGUCCUGCUGAAAUAGGCUCUGAAGCGCGCACACACCGCCCGUCACUCUCCCCAAGCCUAAUUACCAACAUAACUAAAAUGCAACCACUGCAAAGGGGAGGCAAGUCGUAACAUGGUAAGUGUACCGGAAGGUGUACUUGGUAAAAU